rnacentral:rRNA from 1 species
GGGGAAGGGUAGCUUGCUACCUGACCUAGCGGCGGACGGGUGAGUAAUGCUUAGGAAUCUGCCUAUUAGUGGGGGACAACAUUCCGAAAGGAAUGCUAAUACCGCAUACGCCCUACGGGGGAAAGCAGGGGAUCUUCGGACCUUGCGCUAAUAGAUGAGCCUAAGUCAGAUUAGCUAGUUGGUGGGGUAAAGGCCUACCAAGGCGACGAUCUGUAGCGGGUCUGAGAGGAUGAUCCGCCACACUGGGACUGAGACACGGCCCAGACUCCUACGGGAGGCAGCAGUGGGGAAUAUUGGACAAUGGGCGAAAGCCUGAUCCAGCCAUGCCCCGUGUGUGAAGAAAGCCUUUUGGUUGUAAAGCACUUUAAGCGAGGAGGAGGCUACUGAGAUUAAUACUCUUGGAUAGUGGACCUUACUCGCAGAAUAAGCACCGGCUAACUCUGUGCCAGCAGCCGCGGUAAUACAGAAGGUGCGAGCGUUAAUCGGAUUUACUGGGCGUA